AGUGAACGCUGGCGGUAGGCCUAACACAUGCAAGUCGAACGGCAGCACAGUAAGAGCUUGCUCUUACGGGUGGCGAGUGGCGGACGGGUGAGGAAUACAUCGGAAUCUACUUUUUCGUGGGGGAUAACGUAGGGAAACUUACGCUAAUACCGCAUACGACCUACGGGUGAAAGCAGGGGAUCUUCGGACCUUGUGCGAUUGAAUGAGCCGAUGUCGGAUUAGCUAGUUGGCGGGGUAAAGGCCCACCAAGGCGACGAUCCGUAGCUGGUCUGAGAGGAUGAUCAGCCCCACUGGAAUUGAGACACGGUCCAGACUAAUACGGGAGGCAGCGGUGGGGUAUAGUGGACAAUGGGCGGAAGGCGGAUCCAGCCAUACCGCGUGGGUGAAGAAGGCCUUCGGGUUGUAAAGCUCUUUUGUUGGGAAAGAAAAGCAGCAGGUUAAUACCCCGCUGUUCUGACGGUACCCAAAGAAUAAGCACCGGCUAACUUCGUG
rnacentral:rRNA from 1 species